AUGACAUGCUGUGUUAUCCUUCACAAUAUGAUUCUUGAAGAUGAGAGAGGAAUGAACUUGGAAUUCUUCUACGACAAUGUGGGUAGCCGUGUCAAACUAGCUAGAGACCCUAACCGCAUUAGAGCUUUUCUUCAGACAUACAAGGAGAUUGAAAAUGCAAACACACACUUUCAACUUUAGGAGGAUCUCAUUGAGCACCAUUGGCAAAGGGCUGGACAGUAA
rnacentral:rRNA from 1 species